rnacentral:rRNA from 1 species
ACUCCUACGGGAGGCAGCAGUGGGGAAUUUUGGACAAUGGGGGCAACCCUGAUCCAGCAAUGCCGCGUGAGUGAAGAAGGCCUUCGGGUUGUAAAGCUCUUUUGUCAGGGAAGAAACGGUGAAGGCUAAUAUCCUUUGCUAAUGACGGUACCUGAAGAAUAAGCACCGGCUAACUACGUGCCAGCAGCCGCGGUAAUACGUAGGGUGCAAGCGUUAAUCGGAAUUACUGGGCGUAAAGCGUGCGCAGGCGGUUAUGUAAGUCAGAUGUGAAAUCCCCGGGCUUAACCUGGGAAUGGCAUUUGAGACUGCAUGGCUAGAGUGUGUCAGAGGGGGGUAGAGUUCCACGUGUAGCAGUGAAAUGCGUAGAUAUGUGGAGGAAUACCGAUGGCGAAGGCAGCCCCCUGGGAUAACACUGACGCUCAUGCACGAAAGCGUGGGGAGCAAACAGGAUUAGAUACCCUGGUAGUCCACGCCCUAAACGAUGUCUACUAGUUGUCGGGUCUUAAUUGACUUGGUAACGCAGCUAACGCGUGAAGUAGACCGCCUGGGGAGUACGGUCGCAAGAUUAAAACUCAAAGGAAUUGACGGGGACCCGCACAAGCGGUGGAUGAUGUGGAUUAAUUCGAUGCAACGCGAAAAACCUUACCUACCCUUGACAUGUACGGAAGCCUUGAGAGAUCGAGGCGUGCUCGAAAGAGAGCCGUAACACAGGUGCUGCAUGGCUGUCGUCAGCUCGUGUCGUGAGAUGUUGGGUUAAGUCUCGCAACGAGCGCAACCCUUGUCAUUAGUUGCUACGAAAGGGCACUCUAAUGAGACUGCCGGUGACAAACCGGAGGAAGGUGGGGAUGACGUCAAGUCCUCAUGGCCCUUAUGGGUAGGGCUUCACACGUCAUACAAUGGUACAUACAGAGGGCCGCCAACCCGCGAGGGGGAGCUAAUCCCAGAAAGUGUAUCGUAGUCCGGAUUGUAGUCUGCAACUCGACUACAUGAAGUUGGAAUCGC